CUUGCUGAAAAUACAGCUGCGCAUCACAGAAAUAAACUACAGUUUAACACAUUCACAUAGAAAUUAGUUCUUUUAAAUAAAAAUGUCACAACUUCCAUUUUUGCUGCAUUUUGGAUCAAAUAAAUGCAGGCUUGAGUUGUGAAAUACACGAGUAUCCAACAAUACUGGCUCUGCAUCUGGAAAGGUUUGUGUACGACUACAGGUGUUAUGGGUUUGAAAAACCACUGUCCCAUGGAUGUACCGCUUCAUCUAUCUCUCCAGGAGCAGGAAUAUUGUCUGUAUGCCGUGAUCAACCACAGCGGCAGUCGAUUCAGAGGUCACUACACCGCUGUCAGCAGAUCUCUUACAGAUAAUAAGUGUCGACGGUCCUCCAGCUUCUGAGACGACGAAGGAAACCCAGAAUGCAGCGUAGCGGAGCUCACAGUAAACCACAACUGGAAGUUCCUAAUAAGAUAUUAAGCUGUUGAUAUGCAGCAGUGUUUGAGAAGCUGAGGAAUGAAUGUUGAUCUCUGCUCUGGAUGUUCCUCAGUGUCUGCUGCGCUGAGAGAAGCUGCAGAGCAGAACGAUCAGGACAAGAGCCCGUAUUAUCAAGAAACCACAAAAAAGAAAAUGUGAGACGCAUGGAAAAGAAAGAACCAGUAAAAGAGAGGAAAAAAGAUUUAAUCAAGUCUGAAUGUAGUUGAGAAGCUUUGUUUGCAGAUGUAACCCUGUUAGUGUGCUUGAUAAAAGUGAAGAGAGACAACUUUAUGCAUUCAGAUGUUAGAAAUAUUCAACUCUUUUCAUAUGUAUUCAUACUGGAGUGUACAGGAGCUGCUGAUCUGUUAAGUGUUAUAUGACAUCUACUGUGUGAUAUUUGAUUGAAAUGACGUUGAAUAUGUGAAAUUGCUGACAUGCAGUUGAAUUAUUAAUCGGCUGAUAGUGACUGACCUGUAAUUCUGGAUUUAGUGUCUUCUCAAUAAAACACCUUUUAUUCUCUACCUGUUAUUUACAAACACCAGCAAAAACAUUCUGUAGUGAGAAAACAUUUAAUAAUGGGAAGAAACUGUAGGUGUUUGUUCAUAUCACUUCUGUCUGAUCUCUAUACUAGUCACACUAAUAGAACAAGGAUUCAUUUUCCCUGUUUAAACUCUUGAAGGAACCACGACUAGUUUGACUAAUAUUGAUUAAUCUACUUAUUUUCUUAUUUAAAAAAAAAAAAAAAAAAAAUGGACCCACUAACAUUUGCACUCGAAAUACUCUGCUAUGUGUGCUGUUAGGCUAACUGAGCUGUCACAGCGCUUGCAUAUUGCUCUUUUGAUUUGCUUCUAUUAUCAUUAUUUGGAUAAAAGCAUCUUUUAAAUGCACUGCAAAAAAGGCUAAUCUUAAUUUGGUCUUGUUUCUUAUAUCUGAAAAUUCUUAAGAUGCAUUUUACUUGAGCAAAAUGCCGCAGGAUAAUUAGUCUUGUUUCCAGGGAAAUAAACUAGAUGAAGUGCAUUUUGCUUAAAAUAAGUAAUGAGCCGCCAGUGCGGUAAGUAAAAUAUUAAAACAAGAGUAUUUUACUUACCCCACUAGAACAAUUCACUUAAUUUGGUUUCUUUCCCCUGGAAACAAGACUAAUUAUCUUACAUUUUGCUUAUCUAAUAAAUGCAUCUUAGUUUAAGAAUUUUCAGAUAUUUUGACUAAAACAAGACAAAAUACUAAGAGACUUUUGCAGUGUGACUAAAUGCAAUAUAUUAAAAGACAUUUUAGAGUGAUAUUAAAUACAAUUCAAAAUUGAGAGAAUGCAAAACUUUUAUUUUUUUUUUGUA